rnacentral:rRNA from 1 species
GAUGAACGCUAGCGGCAGGCUUAAUACAUGCAAGUCGAGGGGCAGCAUGAUUGUAGCAAUACAAUUGAUGGCGACCGGCAAACGGGUGCGGAACACGUACACAACCUUCCAACAAGUGGGGGAUAGCCCCGAGAAAUUUGGAUUAAUACCCCGUAACAUAGCGAUGUGGCAUCACAUUGCUAUUAUAGAUUUUUCGCUUGUUGAUGGGUGUGCGGCUGAUUAGAUAGUUGGCGGGGUAACGGCCCACCAAGUCUACGAUCAGUAGCUGAUGUGAGAGUAUGAUCAGCCACACGGGCACUGAGACACGGGCCCGACUCCUACGGGAGGCAGCAGUAAGGAAUAUUGGACAAUGGACGCAAGUCUGAUCCAGCCAUGCCGCGUGAAGGAUUAAGGUCCUCUGGAUUGUAAACUUCUUUUAUAAGGGACGAAAAAAGGUCUUUCUAGAUCGUCUGACGGUACCUUAUGAAUAAGCACCGGCUAACUCCGUGCCAGCAGCCGCGGUAAGAC